AUUGAACGCUGGCGGCAGGCCUAACACAUGCAAGUCGAGCGGAGCGGCGGACGGGCGAGUAAUGCCUAUGUAUCUGCCUGGUAGUGGGGGAUAACGUCCGGAAACGGGCGCUAAUACCGCAUUUUCUCAGAUGAGCCUAGGUCGGAUUAGCUAGUUGGUGGGGUAAAGGCCUACCUAGGCGACGAUCCGUAACUGGACUGAGAGGAUGAUCAGUCACACUGGAACUGAGACACGGACCAGACUCCUACGGGAGGCAGCAGUGGGGAAUAUUGGACAAUGGGCGAAAGCCUGAUUCAGCCAUGCCGCGUGUGUGAAGAAGGUCUUCGGAUUGUAAAGCACUUUAAGUUGGGAGGCGGUACCAACAGAAUAAGCACCGGCUAACUUCGUGCCAGCAGCCGCGGUAAUUC
rnacentral:rRNA from 1 species